rnacentral:rRNA from 1 species
AGUGAACGCUGGCGGUAGGCCUAACACAUGCAAGUCGAACGGCAGCACAGUAAGCUCUUGCUCUUACGGGUGGCGAGUGGCGGACGGGUGAGGAAUACAUCGGAAUCUUCUUUUUCUUGGGGGAUAACGUAGGGAAACUUACGCUAAUACCGCAUACGACCUACGGGUGAAAGCAGGGGAUCUUCGUACCUUGCGCGAUUGAAUGAGCCGAUGUCGGAUUAGCUAGUUGGCGGGGUAAAGGCCCACCAAGGCGACGAUCCGUAGCUGGUCUGAGAGAAUGAUCAGCCACACUGGAACUGAGACACGGUCCAGACUCCUACGGGAGGCAGCAGUGGGGAAUAUUGGACAAUGGGCGCAAGCCUGAUCCAGCAAGACCGCGUGGGUGAAGAAGGCCUUCGGGUUGUAAAGCCCUUUUGUUGGGAAAGAAAAGCAGUAGGUUAAUACGUAGAUGUUCUGACGGUACCCAAAGAAUAAGCACCGGCUAACUACGUG